rnacentral:rRNA from 1 species
UGGGGAAUAUUGCACAAUGGGGGAAACCCUGAUGCAGCGACGCCGCGUGAGCGAAGAAGGCUUUCGAGUCGUAAAGCUCUGUCCUAUGAGAAGAUAAUGACGGUAUCAUAGGAGGAAGCCCUGGCUAAAUACGUGCCAGCAGCCGCGGUAAUACGUAGGGGGCUAGCGUUAUCCGGAUUUACUGGGCGUAAAGGGUGCGUAGGUGGUCCUUCAAGUCGGUGGUUAAAGGCUACGGCUCAACCGUAGUAAGCCGCCGAAACUGGAGGACUUGAGUGCAGGAGAGGGAAGUGGAAUUCCCAGUGUAGCGGUGAAAUGCGUAGAUAUUGGGAGGAACACCAGUAGCGAAGGCGGCUUUCUGGACUGCAACUGACACUGAGGCACGAAAGCGUGGGUAGCAAACAGG